rnacentral:rRNA from 1 species
GAUGAACGCUGGCGGCGUGCUUAACACAUGCAAGUCGAACGGUGAAGGCGGAGCUUGCUCUGCUGGAUCAGUGGCGAACGGGUGAGUAACACGUGAGCAAUCUGCCCCUGACUCUGGGAUAAGCUCUGGAAACGGCGUCUAAUACUGGAUACGAGCUGCGAAGGCAUCUUCAGCAGCUGGAAAGAAUUUCGGUCAGGGAUGAGCUCGCGGCCUAUCAGCUUGUUGGUGAGGUAAUGGCUCACCAAGGCGUCGACGGGUAGCCGGCCUGAGAGGGUGACCGGCCACACUGGGACUGAGACACGGCCCAGACUCCUACGGGAGGCAGCAGUGGGGAAUAUUGCACAAUGGGCGAAAGCCUGAUGCAGCAACGCCGCGUGAGGGACGACGGCCUUCGGGUUGUAAACCUCUUUUAGCAGGGAAGAAGCGAAAGUGACGGUACCUGCAGAAAAAGCGCCGGCUAACUACGUG